rnacentral:lncRNA from 10 species
GAGGAUCCAUUUUCUGAGACGGUGAUGGGAAAGAUGUUGGUUGUCAAGUGGAAUCUCAGCAGUCAUUUUCAGACAAAGUUAGAGAAAACAAGUAUGGAAGAUGCCUGAUUCUCAAAGAGUCAUCCAGUCUUGGGAUUACCGCCUACGUCCAUGGAAGUGAAAGUCCUCUUUUUCUUUGUACCACUUACUGAGGCUGAAGAGGAAGAGGAAGAGCAGGUGUUGGUCUUGAUGUCUCAGGGCAGGCAGAGGUGGAAGAGAAUCUGUGUGUAAAGCACCUGCACAGUUCAAACCCAUGCUGUUCGAGGGUCAACUGCAUUCUUGAAAAUUGCUAAAAGACUCCAUUGUAAGUGUUGUCACCACAAAAAAUAGUAAGCAUGUAAUGUCAUGCAUAUGUUAAAUCAGCUCAAUUUAGCCAUUCCACAAUGUAUACAUUUUUGAAAACGUAAUGUACACAAUAUAUAUAAUUUUGUCAAUUAAAAUGGGUAAAUACCUUAAUUAAUUUAAAUAACUGUACAC